rnacentral:rRNA from 1 species
GGCCGCGCGCGCUCCGUCGCUCGCGCACGUAUUGACGUAUCUCGUCUGAUCUCGGAAGCUAAGCAGGGACGGGCUUGGUUAGUACCUGGAUGGGAGACCGCCUGGGAAUACCAGGUGUUGUAGGCU